GACGGAGGGGGCUAGCGUUGUUCGGAAUUACUGGGCGUAAAGGGCGCGUAGGCGGGUUAGUAAGUUGGGAGUGAGAUCCCGAGGCUUAACCUCGGAAUUGCUUUCAAAACUGUUAGUCUAGAGUGAAGCAGGGGGUGAUGGAAUUUCUAGUGUAGAGGUGAAAUUCUUAGAUAUUAGAAGGAACACCGGUGGCGAAGGCGGUCACCUGGGCUUCAACUGACGCUGAGGCGCGAAAGCGUGGGGAGCAAACAGG
rnacentral:rRNA from 1 species